GAUGAACGCUGGCGGCGUGCCUAAUACAUGCAAGUCGAGCGAACAGACGAGGAGCUUGCUCCUCUGACGUUAGCGGCGGACGGGUGAGUAACACGUGGAUAACCUACCUAUAAGACUGGGAUAACUUCGGGAAACCGGAGCUAAUACCGGAUAAUAUAUUGAACCGCAUGGUUCAAUAGUGAAAGACGGUUUUGCUGUCACUUAUAGAUGGAUCCGCGCCGCAUUAGCUAGUUGGUAAGGUAACGGCUUACCAAGGCAACGAUGCGUAGCCGACCUGAGAGGGUGAUCAGCCACACUGGAACUGAGACACGGUCCAGACUCCUACGGGAGGCAGCAGUAGGGAAUCUUCCGCGAUGGGCGAAAGCCUGACGGAGCAACGCCGCGUGAGUGAUGAAGGUCUUCGGAUCGUAAAACUCUGUUAUUAGGGAAGAACAAAUGUGUAAGUAACUAUGCACGUCUUGACGGUACCUAAUCAGAAAGCCACGGCUAACUACGUG
rnacentral:rRNA from 1 species